rnacentral:ncRNA from 1 species
GUAAUACCGCUUAGUACGAGAGGAACCGCGGUUUCAGAUAAUUGGUUUUUGCGGCUGUCCGACCGGGCAUUGCCGCGAAGCUACCAUCUGCUGGAUUAUGGCUGAACGCCUCUAAGUCAGAAUCCAUGCCGGAAAGGGACGAUUCUGCCCCGCGUCGCGAUAGACGAGUACGAAUAGGCUUCGGCCCCGGACCUCAGCAGGUCGGCGACGGGUCGCUCCGGGAAGAGGGGCGGCCUAGCCGGCGUAUUGCAAGAUGGUUGCGCGUGGGGAUAAACACUUUGCAGACGACUUAGUCGCGUCUCCCGGUCGUGUACGUGGACGAGUAGCCUUUGUUGCUACGAGCCACUGAUCGUAAUCCGGCGAGGCCUCUGUUUGU